rnacentral:rRNA from 1 species
GACGAACCGUGCAAACGUUGUUCGGAAUCACUGGGCUUAAAGGGCGCGUAGGCGGGUUCCCAAGUCGGUGGUGAAAUCUUUCGGCCCAACCGGAAAAGUGCCGCCGAUACUGGGAGUCUUGAGGGAGGUAGGGGUCGAGGGAACUGGUGGUGGAGCGGUGAAAUGCGUAGAUAUCACUAGGAACGCCGGUGGCGAAAGCGCUCGACUGGACCUCUUCUGACGCUGAGGCGCGAAAGCCAGGGGAGCAAAC